rnacentral:rRNA from 1 species
CCCUUAGAUGUUCUGGGCCGCACGCGUGCUACACUGAGUGGAUCAGCGGGUCAGGUUGCGCGAAAGUGUUUCCUAAUCUUUAAAUCCGCUCGUGAUGGGGAUUGACGGUUGCAAUUUUCCGUCAUGAACGAGGAAUACCUUGUAAGCGCGGGUCAUCAUCCCGCGCUGAAUACGUCCCUGCCCUUUGUACACACCGCCCGUCGCUCCUACCGAUUGAGUGGUCCGGUGAAGUCUCGAGAUUGUGGCAAUCUCCUUUAUUGGAGUUUGACUGCGAGAACUUGCCUAAACCUUAUCACUUAGAGGAAGGUGAAGUCGUAACA